AUCCAUGGUUAUACCACCCUGAAGAUGCCCAUCUCCUCUGAUCUCGGAAGUUAAGUAGAGCUAAACCUCGUUAGUAUUUAGAUGGGAGAAUACAAGAUGUAGAUA
rnacentral:rRNA from 1 species